rnacentral:lncRNA from 10 species
GCCAUGGAAAAACCCUCGUUUAUUUGAUUAAACAAAAAUAAAAUAAGCUGCAUAGGAACAAUUUUAAAGUCCAAAGAGACACCAACUUUGUUUUAAGGCUGUAGUAGCUGAUACAGCAUCUCCUUGCUACCUCCUCCAGCCUUCUCUGUGGACCACAGUGAUACAUUCAGAAGCCUGUUAGCUAACACAGGAGUUUUUGAACACUUUUCCAUUGGUUCUUCACCUGCUCAUUGCCUGUCAUGCCUGCGGCCUGCAAUAGUAACAUUUAAGAUUUAAAAUGUGAAAGCCAAAAGAGGAGGGGGGAAAAAAACCCAAAAUCAACCAAACAAAAACUCACUUUUGCCUAAAGGUUUGGGGGGAAAUCUUCAUUUCCCCACCCAUCUACUGCAUUGAUGGGAUUCACAUUACCACGGCAGUGCCCAUUUAAAAGUGGCAAAUGGCAGUCAGCACCCCACCCCGGACAGGCUUGCAGUGUGGUUUCUGCGGCCAGGGGAGUUACUACGGUAGUGCAUAUUCCUUAUAUCAUGUCUGCCUUGGACAAAUUCGAAAUACAGAUAAAAUAUUUUUCUCUUGAAGAGAAAGAGACCUAAAGGUCUUUAUUUGUAGUUAAGUCCUCCAAUAGGUCAGAUUAACCAGUAGUUUCAUAAUACUGAACAACAGUAAUGGUAUGCAUAAUUCUUUUUGAGGGGGAAAAGCCAGAUUGCUAAGAACUACUUGGAUUUAUGACUACAUUUGCCUGACAUUUCUCUUUCAAGGUAAGUAGAACAUUUCUCCUGGGAGAAAUCAGUUGUAGAUUUAUGGUAACAUUUCUUUUAGAGGUAGCUUCCCACUCCCACCCACUGCCCACUGGAUUAAUACUAUUCUUUUUGAGACCUGUCAGAUGCUAACAUGAGGUAGAUGACUUGCCACAAGUGAGGUAGAAACUCAGCAAAAGCAGUCAGUGUGGUCUGGAAUGCUGCGUCCUGUGCCCUUGGCCCUAUAGAAAACCAGAGAAAGCCGUAGAGCUCUGGAGGCCCUGGCCCUGUGACACCAUCACCUGCAAGUACAAGAGUGUGACUUUUAUACAGCCCCAGACUGUUGGAAACUCAUUCAGAGUGAUGUUUUAAAUAUACCUUAAACAUACCCUAAAUACUUUUUGGCACCACUGGAUUAAAAAAAUAAGAUCAGAAAAACAAGCCUAAAACUUUGGCAUAUCUUUCACCACCUACCAGAACAGAGCAAUCGUAGAAUCUUCCAACGAGGAAGGUAACACAUAUAUAAACAGUAUUUUGCUGCUUCAAGCCUAAAAGACUUUCCUCCUCAAAUAAUUAAGCUUUGGCUUAACUAGAAUAAAUCAGACUGAGCCGAUCUCAAGCUAUCUCUUGCAACUCCAUCACAAAGUGCCUCAGUUCUGGCAACAUUUUUGGCCCAACACGUAAUUUGGAUUCGGUUUAUGGUACCCUUUGUUAUGUGUUUCCCAAAUAAGUUAGACUUAAAAGGGCAUUGAGGAGUUAGUGCACUUGGGGUACAACCCAGGUCACUGUGCUCUAGUCAACUUGAGUGCCACUUGCAGCCACAACAGGGCACAUGUUCUGAGACAGCAUUAGAUCUUGGGACCAAAAAUAACACUUUUGAAAUGUUAAGUCAGUGUCAAGCAAAAGUAGUUUUUACCUAUGGGUUAGAUGUCCUUUAAACAUCUCAAUACUCAAACCUAUAUAUCCAAACCCAAUGGGCAUCUCCACACAUAAACUGAGCUUACAUCAUACCCCACCCAACCCUUGCCACCUGACCAGAUCAGACCUCCAUGGGGACUAGUAAUUGUCAUACUUACUCCCCAGAAACCUUUUUAUUCUCCUACCUCAUAAUACCCAGGACCUUAUUUUUUCCAUCAGGAUGACGACUCCCUUCUUUGACCCAACUCCUGGCUACCUGGCAUUACCCGGGCAGGAGAUUAUGCAUUUAAACACAGGUACUUUUCACAGUUUCACACUAGGGACUGCCAAAUGUUGGCUUUUAUCAUCUUUCUUUGAUUUAGAACAUUUCACAUCAUACAAUAAACACUCUCCAAAGUGCUUCGCACCAAUCCCUAUGGGUCAGGAGUCAACCACGGGCAGGAAAAACCGCCAAUGUUUUAAAAACAAAAGCUUUCCAAAUGUGACCAUGUUUCUCAAAUACCAGUCAUGCACCAUUUUGGGUACAGAAAGGUAAGGAGAUAGAUAUACCACCACUGAGGACAAAGAGGUAGUAUCUCUGACCUACACACCUAUUUCAGGGGAUAGUUCUAGUUGCUCUAAGCCUGCAAAUUUACAAGUCUGUAAAUUAAGACCUGAUAAUUUCAGCCAUGGAGCGAAAAUCUUGGCUUUUCGAUCACAUCCAUAGUAAAAUGUCAAAUAAGGAGCUCUAGUUACUGUUAUGCACCAAGAACAUUUCUCAUUCAGGUCCCAAAAUUUUCCUACAUCUGGGGAAAUUAGAAAGAAAAGAGCAGAAUGAAAAUGAUGAUGAAAAGAUUUUAAUCAAGAUCCAUCUCCUCAAUAAAAUUUUUUUCAAGCAUUUAAAACCAGUUGUCUUUGGUGUUUAAAGGGUGGCUUGUUGGGCAGCUGGGGAAAGGGAAGGAAGAUCAGCACCAAGUUACUCCAAAAUAGAAAACAGUAAAAAUGUUUAAUUAUAUUAACUCUUUACCAAAGAACUUAGAGCUUAACGGCCAAAAGGCAACUGAAUAGGCAUUGGGGAAGGAUUCACUAUUAAAUUCUACAGUAAAAGGAGCUUCUAACAAACAACAUUUCCUAACACCUUCCCACCCUGUAACAGCAGCUGGGAGCCAGCAGCAGUUUGAAGCUACUUUCCAACUUUUGAAUCUUUUAUUGCAUGCAGUUCUCCUCUGUGAGAUGAGGUUUUUUUUUUCCUUCCCAUUUUGGUCACUCAGAAACCCUAGAAUUAAAGCAAUGGGAAGAGACAGAGUAGCUUGUAGUAGUAGUAAAUUAAACGUCCAAAAGAGGUGUACGGGAAAAGCAACUUGAUUGACUUGUCACACUGUCCCCAUCAUCUCCUUUUCUAUUGGGAUAACAGAAACAAAUUGCUCCAUUUGUUAAUCUGUUCUGCUCAUUUAAAACGAUACCCAUUUUGCAAUAGAAAUUUCUCUUAAACAGAGGAACAGAAGUUGAUCCAUAAGUCUUUAAACAAGAGGUCUCCCUUGUAAGUCACUGACGUUUGUUUGAGAGUCCCUCUUUUCCCUGAGGAGGGCUCCUCCAGAAUUUGGUUCUUAUUUCAGUAUUUGGGGCAUUGCAGGAACCCACUGGGUUCUGACAAGCAGGGUAUCAGCUACAUCUGCUUUGCACUUGAAAGACAGACAAUGCCCAGAAGCACAAGUUUUGUACCCAAGUCCAGCUUACAACCAACCAAUCCUGUAAAGUGACACAGAUUCUACCCCACAGUUCUGCAGUGGGAGCCUUAAAUUUUCAUUCUUUGGUACCGAGUUACAGGUUUAAGAAAAGACAUUACAUCCUACAUUUCAGGUUGGGACAAUUUGGUUUCUAGAUCCUUUAUGGUCAAAGGCCUUGGGGGGAGAGGGGGCGGGGGGAUUCAUGUUAACCAUGAGGUCCUAAAGCAUGGCCUGGGUGCAAACAAUCCUAUAAAAAGUGACCCAAGCAGAGGGUGUGGGACUGGGCUGUUGGUAUUAAUUUGACUUUCAAACCUUCUAUUUCCCUGAACUUUCAAAGCAGGAAAAAAUUGUGCUUGUAAAAUAAAAGUUCUUUCCUUUGCCUACUCUUCUUAGGAAAAGAAACCCCUAGCACUACAGAACAACAUGCACUCGCGGGUCAGGGCAGACCCUGCCCUUUCUGUGGAGUUCCUAUAGUUUGGGGGUGCCUUGUUCUUUAAUGUGCUCCCUGACUCCCUCAGCACACGCAUGUCCACCCACAUUCAUGUCCACGUCAGCCCAUGCCUGAAAACCCUCUCUCUGAGAACGAGGUUAAUUUCCUUUUUCCUUCCAUUUAACCCUUUAUAACCUAACAGCAAAAUAAGAAAGCAUAACUUUUGAGAAUAUGUUUAAUCAAAAAUCCUGAGCUACCAUCUAUAUACUUUUUUAAGAAACCAAAGUGUGAAAAGGAGAGGUUCUUUGGGAGGCAGUGUGUCAUUUUCAGCUUUACUACUUGGGUGCAAGAUGGCUUUGAAACAAACAUGCACACACCCUCCCUUAAAAGAAACAAAGAUUAUAUACCCUAAAAUAUGAAGGGUCUGCUUUUCUUGGCUAGCAAGCCACAGCCACAACGUCUAAGAUCAAGAAACGAUGCAGAAGAGGAUGUUAAACACACUGAGGUAUAAACAGAGAACAGAGGAAAUUUCUCUGUUGCAGCAUUUAAAAAGAGAAGAUUUUCCAAAAAGAUCAAAACAACACAACAUAAUCUAAACCCCAUAUAAACAGUAUUCUCAAGAACACAGGUAUUCUAUAAUUAUGCAUUUCAAAUCCUAUUUUUUCCAUGUUUUAUAGUUUUUUGUUUUUUUACUUAGUAGUUUUUUUUUGUGUUUCCUUGGCUCAAUCUACAGA